UACGCAGGGGGCAAGCGUUGUCCGGAUUUAUUGGGCGUAAAGAGCGUGUAGGCGGCUUUACAGGUCCGUUGUGAAAACUCGAGGCUCAACCUCGAGACGCCGGUGGAAACCGUAAGGCUAGAGUCCGGAAGAGGAGAGUGGAAUUCCUGGUGUAGCGGUGGAAUGCGCAGAUAUCAGGAGGAACACCAAUAGCGAAGGCGGCUCUCUGGAACGGUACUGACGCUGAGACGCGAAAGCGUGGGGAGCGAACAGG
rnacentral:rRNA from 1 species